AUGUGAUUCAUAGGAGAUAACACGUGACUACAAGAGUGGGUCUAAAAAUUAGCUUAACCAGUUAGAUUAAAUUUAGGUAUAUGUAUUUGACACACCCGUCAGAACAGUUGACAGUGAGCUGCGCUUUGUUCAAGGAGACGAGAAUUCGAUCCCUGCCCGUCAAAUGUGACGUAGGGUAAAAGCCGGAAUAGCUGCGCCACUUUUCAAAGACGCUCUGUUAAUCAAGAUAAGUACGUAUUAUUUUUUAUUCAAAGUGCAUAUCAAAACAUAGGUUAUUAAU
rnacentral:misc_RNA from 1 species